rnacentral:lncRNA from 1 species
GGUCUUCUAGUACGUUCAAAACUUAUUUUGACCGUUCCAUCAGAAAAUUGUUUAACAUUCUCAACAUUUAGUAAAUUAUUAACUACAGGUUGUUGAGGAAUUUCACUGGGUAAAGUCCAUUGACUAGGUAACGUAAUAUCUUUCCAGAGGAUGGUUCUCGGGAUCUGAAUAUUAGCAUCACUAGUUGAACUUUGAAUUAAUACAGUUUGAUCUUUAGGACUUUUAUUAAGAGCAUGAACGUUCAAAUUCGUUUUCAUGGUCUUAUAGUAAAUCCUAUCUAUGGGCUGAGAAUCCUCAAUCAUAUGAGUAAUUUCUCCAGCUGUUUUAAUGUUUAAUGUCAAAGCUUUUAAGAAGUGUUGAUCACCCAGGCUUAAUGUGAAAUCAGGAAAGCAAUUAAAAUGGAUAGGUCCAUUGUGCAAACUUAAUUC